rnacentral:rRNA from 1 species
ACGGGAGGCAGCAGUGGGGGAUAUUGCACAAUGGAGGAAACUCUGAUGCAGCAACGCCGCGUGAGGGAAGAAGGUCUUCGGAUUGUAAACCUCUGUUUUUGGUGAAGAACAAAUGACGGUAGCCAAAGAGGAAGCCACGGCUAACUACGUGCCAGCAGCCGCGGUAAUACGUAGGUGGCAAGCGUUGUCCGGAUUUACUGGGUGUAAAGGGUGCGCAGGCGGGACUGCAAGUUGGAUGUGAAAUACCGGAGCUUAACUCCGGAACUGCAUCCAAAACUGUGGUUCUUGAGUGGAGUAGAGGUAAGCGGAAUUCCGAGUGUAGCGGUGAAAUGCGUAGAUAUUCGGAGGAACACCAGUGGCGAAGGCGGCUUUCUGGACAGAAACUGACGUUGAGGCACGAAAGUGUGGGGAGCAAACAGGAUUAGAUACCCUGGUA